rnacentral:rRNA from 1 species
UUGGAGGGCAAGUCUGGUGCCAGCAGCCGCGGUAAUUCCAGCUCCAAUAGCGUAUAUUAAAGUUGUUGCAGUUAAAAAGCUCGUAGUUGAAUUUCGGAAUCAAUUUGUUGGUCGUGCCUCGGUACGUACUGGUAUUAUUGGUUUCUACCUUCUGAAGAACCUUGAUGUCAUUAAUUUGGUGUCUUGGGGAAUCAGGACUGUUACUUUGAAAAAAUUAGAGUGUUUAAAGCAAGCAUACGCUUGAAUACAUUAGCGUGGAAUAAUGAAAUAGGACGUUUGAUUCUAUUUUGUUGGUUUCUAGGAUCGACGUAAUGAUUAAUAGGGAUAGUUGGGGGCAUUAGUAUUCAAUUGUCAGAGGUGAAAUUCUUGGAUUUAUUGAAGACUAACUACUGCGAAAGCAUUUGCCAAGGAUGUUUUCAUUAAUCAAGAACGAAAGUUAGGGAAUCGAAGACGAUCAGAUACCGUCGUAGUCUUAACCAUAAACUAUGCCGACUAGGGAUCGGAUGAUGUUAAUUUUUUAAUGACUCAUUCGGCGCCUUACGGGAAACCAAAGUGUUUGGGUUC